rnacentral:rRNA from 1 species
AUGGACUACUCGCUGGCGGCGCUGAAGCUGUUGGCCUCGCAGCUGGAGGGCUCCACCUCCUUCGAGGGCUCCUCCCCGGCGCAGAUGCUGCAAGGCGGGGUGGUGCGCGCGGACUGCACCAUCGGCGACGCGAGGUUGUUCGUGGAUGACGGCGCCUCCUCCGUCACCGAGCUCAUGCUCCGACCCGAGGAUGCCAAGGGCCCGUGGCGCCCAGGGAUGUAUGGGCUGAUUAUUGGGGCAUAUAUUGCAGACUGGGAAAGUCUGCCGAUGGUCAAGGUGCACAAGAUAGUGGAUCUCUCUGCGCAGCCGGACCGUGAAGCGAUGUGGUACAUGGAAGUGGCCGAGGCAUACAACUUCUUCAACAAGGCUGUCGCCUCUCGUGCCGGCUCACCGCCAUGA